GACGAACGCUGGCGGUGUGCUUAACACAUGCAAGUCGAACGGUAAGGCCCUUUCGGGGGUCCACGAGUGGCGAACGGGUGAGUAACACGUGAGUAACCUGCCCUCAUCUCUGGGAUAACAGUCGGAAACGGUUGCUAAUACUGGAUAUGAGCUUGCAAGGCAUCUUGUGGGUUGGAAAGAUUUUUUUUGGUUGGGGAUGGACUCGCGGCCUAUCAGCUUGUUGGUGAGGUAGUGGCUCACCAAGGCUUCGACGGGUAGCCGGCCUGAGAGGGCGACCGGCCACAUUGGGACUGAGAUACGGCCCAAACUCCUACGGGAGGCAGCAGUGGGGAAUAUUGCACAAUGGACGGAAGUCUGAUGCAGCAACGCCGCGUGCGGGAUGACGGCCUUCGGGUUGUAAACCGCUUUCAAUUGUGAAGAAGCUUUUUUGUGACGGUAGCAGUAGAAGAAGCACCGGCUAACUACGUG
rnacentral:rRNA from 1 species